AACGAACGCUGGCGGCAUGCCUAACACAUGCAAGUCGAACGAGACCUUCGGGUCUAGUGGCGCACGGGUGCGUAACGCGUGGGAAUCUACCCUUGGGUUCGGAACAACAGUUGGAAACGACUGCUAAUACCGGAUGAUGACUUCGGUCCAAAGAUUUAUCGCCCAGGGAUGAGCCCGCGUAGGAUUAGCUUGUUGGUGAGGUAAAAGCUCACCAAGGCGACGAUCCUUAGCUGGUCUGAGAGGAUGAUCAGCCACACUGGGACUGAGACACGGCCCGGUCUCCGGCGGGGGGCAGCAGUGGGGAAUAUUGGACAAUGGGCGAAAGCCUGAUCCAGCAAUGCCGCGUGAGUGAUGAAGGCCUUAGGGUUGUAAAGCUCUUUUACCCGGGAUGAUAAUGACAGUACCGGGAGAAUAAGCCCCGGCUAACUCCGUGCCAGCCGCCGCAGUAAUAC
rnacentral:rRNA from 1 species